rfam:Alternaria alternata strain SRC1lrK2f unplaced genomic scaffold CC77scaffold_20, whole genome shotgun sequence.
UCCUCUGUGGCGCAAUUGGCUAGCGCGUCUGACUGUUACACCAGUGGCUAUCAGGAGGUUGGAAGUUCGAGCCUUCCCGGAGGAG